GUGAGGAAUAUUGCGCAAUGGAGGCAACUCUGACGCAGCCAUGCCGCGUGCAGGAAGAAGGCGCUACGCGUUGUAAACUGCUUUUAACCGGGAAGAAACCCCAGGACGUGUCCUGGGUUGACGGUACCGGAGGAAUAAGCACCGGCUAACUUCGUGCCAGCAGCCGCGGUAAUACGAAGGGUGCAAGCGUUAUCCGGAUUCAUUGGGUUUAACGGGUGCGUAGGCGGAGCUGUAAGUCAGUGGUGAAAUCCUGCAGCUUAACUGUAGACUUGCCAUUGAUACUGGCGCUCUUGAGUGCGCUUGAAGUGGGCGGAAUGUGCCGUGUAGCGGUGAAAUGCUUAGAUAUGGCACAGAACACCAAUUGCGAAGGCAGCUCACUAAGGCGAUACUGACGCUGAGGCACGAAAGCGUGGGGAUCGAACAGGAUUAGAAACCCCUGUAGUCC
rnacentral:rRNA from 1 species